GGGGUUAUAGCUCAGCUGGUUAGAGCGCUACGUUGACAUCGUAGAGGUCGUUGGUUCGAUCCCAAUUAACCCCACCA
rnacentral:tRNA from 1 species